CCUACGGGUGGCUGCAGUGGGGAAUAUUGGGCAAUGGGCGCAAGCCUGACCCAGCAACGCCGCGUGAAGGAAGAAGGCUUUCGGGUUGUAAACUUCUUUUCGCAGGGACGAAGCAAGUGACGGUACCUGAGGAAUAAGCCACGGCUGACUACGUGCCAGCCGCCGCGGUAAUACGAAGGUGGGAAGCGUUAUCCGGAUUUACUGGGUUUAAAGGGCGUGUAGGCGGGACUGCAAGUCAGGUGUGAAUACCACGGGGUCCACCCGUGGGCUGCAUUUGAAACUGGCGUUCUUGAGUACUGGAGAGGCAGACGGAAUGCGUAGUGUAGCGGUGAAAUGCGUAGAUAUUAGGCAGAACACCAGUGGCGAAGGCGGCCUGCUGGACAGCAACUGACGCUGAGGCGCGAAAGCGUGGGGAGCAAACAGGAUUAGAUACCCGGGUAGUC
rnacentral:rRNA from 1 species